rnacentral:rRNA from 1 species
AUGCAAGUCGAGCGGUAACAGGUGUAGCAAUACAUGCUGACGAGCGGCGAACGGGUGAGUAAUGCUUCGGAAUCUGCCCAAUGGUGGGGAAUAACCAGCCGAAAGGUUGGCUAAUACCGCAUAAGUCCUACGGGGGAAAGCAGGGGAUCGCAAGACCUUGCGCCGAUGGAUGAGCCGAAGUCGGAUUAGCUAGUUGGUAGGGUAACGGCCUACCAAGGCGACGAUCCGUAGCUGGUCUGAGAGGACGACCAGCCACACUGGGACUGAGACACGGCCCAGACUCCUACGGGAGGCAGCAGUGGGGAAUAUUGGACAAUGGGGGAAACCCUGAUCCAGCGACGCCGCGUGUGUGAAGAAGGCCUGCGGGUUGUAAAGCACUUUUAGUGGGGAUGAAAAGCUCAGGGCUAACACUUCUGGGUCUUGACCUAACCCACAGAAAAAGCACCGGCUAACUCUGUGCCAGCAG